rnacentral:rRNA from 1 species
UGUGGAAUAUUGGACAAUGUGGGGAACCCUGCUCCAGCCAUGCCGCGUGUGUGAAGAAGGCCUUAUGGUUGUAAAGCACUUUAAGCGAGGAGGAGGGUACUGGUAUUAAUACUACCAGGUACUGGCCGUUACUCGCAGAAUACGCACCGGCUAACUCUGUGCCAGCAGCCGCGGUAAUACAGAGGGUGCGAGCGUUAAUCGGAUUUACUGGGCGUAAAGCGUGCGUAGGCGGCUAAUUGAGUCGGAUGUGAAAUCCCCGAGCUUAACUUGGGAAUUGCAUUCGAUACUGGUUAGCUAGAGUGUGGGAGAGGAUGGUAGGAUUCCAGGGGUAGCGGUGAAAGGCGUAGAGAUCUGGAGGAAUACCGAUGGCGAAGGCAGCCAUCUGGCCUAACACUGACGCUGAGGUACGAAAGCAUGGGGAGCAAACAGG